rnacentral:rRNA from 2 species
UUACCAAAUCUUGACAUCCUUUGACAACUCUAGAGAUAGAGCCUUCCCCUUCGGGGGACAAAGUGACAGGUGGUGCAUGGUUGUCGUCAGCUCGUGUCGUGAGAUGUUGGGUUAAGUCCCGCAACGAGCGCAACCCUUAAGCUUAGUUGCCAUCAUUAAGUUGGGCACUCUAGGUUGACUGCCGGUGACAAACCGGAGGAAGGUGGGGAUGACGUCAAAUCAUCAUGCCCCUUAUGAUUUGGGCUACACACGUGCUACAAUGGACAAUACAAAGGGCAGCUAAACCGCGAGGUCAUGCAAAUCCCAUAAAGUUGUUCUCAGUUCGGAUUGUAGUCUGCAACUCGACUACAUGAAGCUGGAAUCGCUAGUAAUCGUAGAUCAGCAUGCUACGGUGAAUACGUUCCCGGGUCUUGUACACACCGA